CCGUGACCGAUGGGGUCUGUCCCGCUGCCCGCGCCCGGAGCGCGGAGCAGGGCGGGGCGGGGGCCGGGCAGGCGCUGGAGCAUCUCAUUGGGGCAGCGGAGCGGGUGGCGGGGCGUCUGCCCAACAAAUGCUUACACUGGCACAUUGGUCCUUACUUUGGAUGGAUUGAAUCGGCCAAACUGGAAUGAAGAGUGUGACAGAAAGCUCUUAAAUCAGCUCCUAAACUACUGGGUAUUAGUACUGUAAAACCAAAUUCUUGGUCAUAGGAAAGACUAAUGAGGUUCCCAGUGUCACAUCAGUAACUGAAAAGGGAAAUAAAAUGCAAAUUUCGUGACUGUCAUUAUCUCAUAACCAUAUCAUACCUGUUAUUAGUAUUACCAUGUGCAUUAAGCCACAUUGCAUUGCUAUUAUUAAUGCAUAGUUAAUCAUAAUAUCUUACUUUGUUAACUUCUGCUGGCACAUUCCUGCCGGAUCUGAGAAAUGUGAGGAAAAAGAUACAGUACCUUUAUAUUGCAUGGUCCUGUAUCCCUGUGUCCCAGCUUGUCAGAUUAUUUAAAAAGUAUGUAUAUUUACUUAUAUUGUGCCCAAUAAAAGCUUACUGACAUUGUAAAUCUGACCUUUCUGUUUAAGUGACUGAGAUGUAUUUUCUCAUCUUGUAAGAACUAUAUGUGGACCUUAAUAUGUGUGCUCCAUAAUAUUUGUGAUGUUGUAACAUGGAUGUUAGAACAUGGGAACUUGUAAGAACACUUGUAAUACAGAAAGCAGCUGCUAUUAAUGUACUGUACAUCAAUAUGUAGGUAGUUUUCUACCUGUUGAUACAUUAUGCCCACUAACUUCCACGAUAUGUAACAAAACGUACUCAAGCAUGUAAAUAAACAGAAACUAAUGUAAA